AGGGCGUUUCUGGGAAAGGAGGCAGAGGGGGGAGACGCGGGCCGGAAAGUGGCGUGUGGCUGGGGAGCCUAGGGCCCCCGGCGGGGAGGGCAGGAGUGCUGACUGGGAGCUUCCGGCGCGUCUGGCGUCUGCCUUGCCCUGGAAGCGGCCUGAAGUGGGACGGAAGUGAGAGCCGGCGCAGUGCAACAGGGUGCCGCUGGCUGGCUGUAGGGCGGGGGCGUGCCACGCUAGGCCUCGUUCCCCGCCGUCCCGCGAAACCUCGCGAGCACAACAUACUCAGUGUUACCUGAUUUCUGUAUGUUGUCGUCUCGUGUACGCCUCAUUCCCAGAACAGUCCGGCUUGUUCAUUCCCUCAUCUACAAUUCUUGCCAUUCCUCCAUGGAUUUAAAGGCGCUCCUUUGCUCCUUGAAUGACUUUGCAUCCCUCUCCCUUGCUGAGAGUUGGGACAAUGUUGGCUUACUGGUGGAACCAAGCCCACCACACACUGUAAACACACUCUUCCUUACCAACGACUUGACUGAGGAAGUGAUGGAGGAGGCGCUGCAAAAAAAGGCGGACCUCAUUCUCUCCUACCAUCCACCUAUUUUUCGACCCUUAAAACACAUAACCUGGAAAACCUGGAAGGAGCGCCUGGUGAUCCGGGCUCUGGAAAACAGAGUUGGUAUUUACUCUCCUCACACCGCCUAUGAUGCUGCACCCCAAGGAGUCAACAGCUGGUUGGCAAAAGGGCUUGGAGUUUGCACCUCCAGGCCCAUACAUCCUUCCAGAGCUCCCAACUACCCUACAACGGGAACACACAGAGUAGAAUUCAGUGUUAAUGGUACCGAAGACCUGGACAAAGUUAUUUCUGCAGUGAAACGAAUUGCAGAUGUUUCUGUCACUUCUUUUUCUACUAGGACUGAUAAUGAAGAACAAACAAGGAUUAGUCUGAAUUGUAGUCAGGAGGCUUUGAUACAGGUGGUGGCAUUUCUUUCCCAGAGCAAACAAUUCUAUCAGAAGACUGAAAUUCUGUCACUGGAGAAGCCUCUGCUUCUACACACUGGAAUGGGACGGUUGUGCACACUGGAUGAAUCUGUUUCCUUGGCAACCAUGAUUGAUCGAAUCAAAAGGCACCUUAAACUAUCUCAUGUUCGCCUUGCUCUUGGGGUAGGAAGGACCUUAGAGUCUCCAGUCAAAGUCGUGGCCCUGUGUGCUGGUUCUGGGAGUACGGUGCUACAAGGGGCAGAGGCCGACCUUUACCUCACAGUUUUAGGAGCCACAGUCUGAUAACGCAGGCCCUCUGAUGGCUCAGGACUAAGCUGCAAGAGUCUCCUCGCUUCCUAGAAUGUAGGAAAAUACAGUGCUACGGCUCCACAUUUGAAUUAGAAGAAAUAGACUUCUAAACCUGGCUGUGUCAUGAAGGUGAUGGCACAGAUGUUAGCUGUUCCAGGGAUCAUGAUUAUUGUUCAUGUGCUUUCUAAGAACUCAGAUGGCAUACUGCCUAAAUGGAUCCUUAUGACCCAUCAUGGAACUUGCAUUUUAUCACUGAAGUUGAGUCAGAGGCAUACUUGUCCUUAAGUAAACAGGAGAUAAAGUAUUCUUAGCAUAUAAUGCUGUAAUAGCAAAAGUCUCACCUUUUUUGUUCUUAUAAGUUUGUGGUCCCUAAAUUCAGUUAACUGGGCCCGAAGUGUCAGAUCACUAUUGACCAGGAAUGCCUCUCGACACUGUUGGUAAAAGUCUUGAAAAGAAAGUCCUAGAGAGUUCAGAAGGAGAUAUGAACAUAAGUCAUCAUUUAAGACAUGACCCCAUAUAAGGAUACCCAUACCAGAGAACACAAAGUGCUGUUGCCAUCGUAUGUCAAAGCAGUAAGUAUUGAUAAAGCAUCAUGAGAAGAGUAUAUACCACAUAUCACUAGCCCAAGAGAAGAUUAAAAAUUCGAAGUAUGGUUUCUAGUGAAUGGAUGAAUACUGCUUUUGCACCAUCAUAAAGUCAAAAAAAUGGUAAGUCAAUCCAUUUUAAGGGGACCGUUGAUCUGUACAUGAAUAAGUAGAAGUGUAUGCUUAGCUUCGCCCUAUAACUAGAGCAUCUAUAUCAUGUUACCUUCUUUAAAUUUGUUUACUAUCCAGUCUAGCUGGUCCAGUACACUGCGGAAAGUACCCAUAUGAUUGAGGACUUCUUCUGUUAUAGAAUUCAGGAUCUGUAUCAUAAAAGUGCAAGAGGUACAUCAAUUACUACUUAUUCUGUCAUAUAGGAUAAAUACAACUACAAUCAGUCCUUUUUUAUAAGUUAAAAAUGCAUUUAGAUUUCCCAUCAAGUCUGAAAAACCACUUAAAAAAUUCUACUGGUAAAAAAAAAAUUCUACUGGUACUUAAGUAUACCUAAUUCAUUUUUUUGGCAUAAAGUUAUAUCUAAAAUGAAACACGAAAGAACGGCAAAGAUGUAUAGAUAGGAGGGUAGCAAAAAUAUCCCUCCCCGAUUAUGGAAAACAUUAGAAAACCAUAGAUCUACCAAUGAAAAUAGGAUACAAACAUUAAAGACACUGCAUUGUUUAAUAGCCAGCACCAAAAGGUUUAGUUUUCAAAUGAUGAAACAUGAGUAUUUGCACUGAAAAUGAUCUAUAAUAAAUGUAUUCUAAAACUACAAACUAUUAACUUACUACUUUUAGAGUACCAAAGUGUCACUGAGCAUAAUAAAAGUAAAAUCUUCCAUAAUCCUGUCCUUCAGAGAAGUACUGUUGGUAUUUGGUAUAGUAAACAAAACUAACAUUUCUCUAAGAUUUAAUAUAUUUAUCAGUUACAAAGUAGGAAAUUCAGAUGAGGACUCAAAGCUAGAACCCUGAGUUCAAACACGAUCUUAAGUAAUAUGUAAUCCUACCAGUGUAAAGGCUAAAAAAACCUGAAUGUUCCAGAAUGAGAAGUAGCAUCCUCAUUAAUGUAGGGGUAUGGAUUGGCAGGAGAUAUAAUGUUGCUUCUUUUAACAUUUUUGAAACUUACUGAUUUCACACUUAUUCCAGGAAAGAAGCCAUUGAUGACAACAUGAAUGGAAUCUUGCAGCACAGUGGUUCGAAACCUUUCUAGUAAAUCUCUCUUAGAACCCAAACCAUAAAGCACAAUGUUGAACCCCAGGCUGUUAGGAAAGAUAGCAUUCAUGAAAUUAAAGUUCGGCACCUCCUAAUUUAUUAUAAUCAACUAGUUUCUUUAAGUUGAUAAAGAAUAUGGAAAGGACUAGGAUGACUAAGUAAUUACAUUGAUUUCCAGCUCAUACACUGUAGAAGCACAGUUUUAUUAUCUGUACACCAGACUUCAGUAGCUUUCUCUCCAGCUCUUUAUUACCUUUCAAAUAAUGGCUGGCUGGAGGGAAAGGAGAACAGCGGGGACAAGGCACUAGCGAUUCCACAGGCUCAGGCAGAUUUAUUUGAGAUUAAAUAGGAAAGGUAAGCAGAGGCCAGGUCACAAAGGUUUUGUUAAGGCAACCAAGACAUUGAUUAGAUUUUAUUUCAAGGACAAUGACCAUUUAAAACUAACUACUCAGGUGUUAAUUGAAAGGUUUUAAGUAGGAAAGUAGCAUGAUAUUUUCAGAAAGAUCAUCCUGGCUAAACAGAGGGAACAGACAGGAGAGAGAAGUACCAAUGACUACGGCCCUGAAUUAGGUGUUGUGUAGAAAAACAAGUUGUCAAGAGCUUUACAUGUCAGAUCAAUUUGGAGAGUGGUUAGAUGUGGAAGGUGAUGGAAAGGGAAUAUUUCAGAAUACCUCAUUUUUUUGGUAUAGGCGACAACACAAAUGGGACAUCCAUUGUGCCAGGUUGCAGGGGGCAGGUGGGAAUGAUGGGUUUAAGAGGAGUUAAAUUUUAUGUAUAUUGAAUUAUUUACAGGACAUCCACAUGGAAACCUCAAAUAUACACUGAGAUAUCUGUAUCUGCUGCUGAGGAGUGAUAUCUGGGGUGGGCCAGAGAUACAAUGGGUGUUACUCACAUGCAAAAAGCAACCAAAGCUAAGCGAUUAAGAAGAUCCAGAACACCAAAGCACUAAGGCUAAAGCUAAAGCUCGAUUCCAUGAUUGUUUAUAGAGGUCAAUCAGAAAUAGUAUUUACGUGAUGCUCAGAGGUGCCUAGAAAUCAAAGCAAUAACCCCCACGUAGCACAUUCUGCUGCAAGGUGGCAGCAGCAGAAAAAAAGGGAAUUCAGAGAGUUGGCAAUUUCUAUUGAAGUGCUGACUAAAGUCUAGGCUGGGAAGCAAAGCCCAACAAAUUAGCAGGGUUGACAGAUGGAGGAACUGGACUAUAGAGGAUAGGAUCAGAGUGAAGAGCUACUUUGCCAAUUUAUAAUGAACAGAUCUAACUAUAAAUAGUUAUUGAGAGAAGCUGAGCUCCUAGCAGGGAAGAUAAGCAUAACCCCUUUGAUGUAUUAUUGGCAAAGCAAAACCAGUAUCAAUGGGGAAAAUUGUGUCAAUUUGUUUUUACUGCUUGGCAGACCUGCCUUCUUAUUUAUCAGUGACUGAGUACACAUUCACGAUAGUAUAGUUUUUAAGCACUAAGAUCCUUUUUAAUAAAAAUAUAAAAGUAAUUAAAGUAAAAAUAAAAAGUUAUUCUUUUAGUUAUUUUAAUGCAAAUUUGAAUUUUAAUCUGUUAUCUGAAAAACAGUAAAAUUGAAAAUAUAAUCUAAGAAAUAAUUUUAAAAUGGUAAAAUAAUGUUUAUCAGACAGACAUCACAAAAUUUUGAAGAUCUGUAGUACAUGAAAAUAGAAUGAGAUUAAAAUAAAUAUAUAUAUUCUUUUUAGGAACUUUGCUGCGGAAAACUGGACUCAAAUAUAAUUGAUAUAUCUUGUCAAUCUUGACAAAUCAGAUUUCAAAAUACUUUAAUAAGUAAUAACUUGGAAUUCUAAGAUGGGCUAUUUAUUUUACCAAUGGCUUUCACAUCUGAUAAAUAUAGCCACAUUUCUUGAAAACUAAAAUUUCUGAGAUGAAUCAUACAAUAUGACAUUUUUACAUGUGAGUCAUAUAAUUAGGAUUUUUUUUUCAAAUUUUUAUAUAUGAAAAAUAUAUCUGGUUGAUUGCAAAAAGAAAAUU